rnacentral:misc_RNA from 1 species
CAGAGAACAUCGCCCUCACGGGUGACUCUCCAACCCUAUGUUAUACAACCUUUGUUGCUUUGGCGAGCCGCCUCGGCCGCUGGCUUCGGCUAGCGAGUGCUCGCCAGAGGACCCCAAACUCUGAAUUAAAGUAUUGUCUGAGUACUAUAUAAUAGUUA